rnacentral:rRNA from 1 species
UGGAAGUAAAAAGUCGUAACAAGGUCUCCGUUGGUGAACCAGCGGAGGGAUCAUUACCGAGUUUACAACUCCCAAACCCAAUGUGAACGUUACCAAACUGUUGCCUCGGCGGGAUCUCUGCCCCGGGUGCGUCGCAGCCCCGGACCAAGGCGCCCGCCGGAGGACCAACCUAAAACUCUUAUUGUAUACCCCCUCGCGGGUUUUUUUAUAAUCUGAGCCUUCUCGGCGCCUCUCGUAGGCGUUUCGAAAAUGAAUCAAAACUUUCAACAACGGAUCUCUUGGUUCUGGCAUCGAUGAAGAACGCAGCGAAAUGCGAUAAGUAAUGUGAAUUGCAGAAUUCAGUGAAUCAUCGAAUCUUUGAACGCACAUUGCGCCCGCCAGUAUUCUGGCGGGCAUGCCUGUCCGAGCGUCAUUUCAACCCUCGAACCCCUCCGGGGGGUCGGCGUUGGGGAUCGGCCCUCCCUUAGCGGGUGGCCGUCUCCGAAAUACAGUGGCGGUCUCGCCGCAGCCUCUCCUGCGCAGUAGUUUGCACACUCGCAUCGGGAGCGCGGCGCGUCCACAGCCGUUAAACACCCAACUUCUGAAAUGUUGACCUCGGAUCAGGUAGGAAUACCCGCUGAACUUAAGCAUAUCAAUAAAGCGGAGG